rnacentral:rRNA from 1 species
GGGGAAUAUUGCACAAUGGACGAAAGUCUGAUGCAGCAACGCCGCGUGGAGGAUGACACAUUUCGGUGCGUAAACUCCUUUUAUAUAAGAAGAUAAUGACGGUAUUAUAUGAAUAAGCACCGGCUAACUCCGUGCCAGCAGCCGCGGUAAUACGGGGGGUGCAAGCGUUACUCGGAAUCACUGGGCGUAAAGAGCAUGUAGGCGGAUUAAUAAGUUUGAAGUGAAAUCCUAUAGCUUAACUAUAGAACUGCUUUGAAAACUGUUGAUCUAGAAUGUGGGAGAGGUAGAUGGAAUUUCUGGUGUAGGGGUAAAAUCCGUAGAGAUCAGAAGGAAUACCGAUUGCGAAGGCGAUUUACUGGAACACAAUUGACGCUGAGAUGCGAAAGCGUGGGGAGCAAAC